rnacentral:rRNA from 1 species
UACGUAGGUCCCGAGCGUUGUCCGGAUUUAUUGGGCGUAAAGCGAGCGCAGGUGGUUUAUUAAGUCUGGUGUAAAAGGCAGUGGCUCAACCAUUGUAUGCAUUGGAAACAGGUAGACUUGAGUGCAGGAGAGGAGAGUGGAAUUCCAUGUGUAGCGGUGAAAUGCGUAGAUAUAUGGAGGAACACCGGUGGCGAAAGCGGCUCUCUGGCCUGUAACUGACGCUGAGGUUCGAAAGCGUGGGUAGCAAACAGG